GGUCAAGCGAUGAAGCGCACACGGUGGAUGCCUAGGCAGCCAGAGGCGAUGAAAGACGUGGAAGCCUGCGAUAAGGCUCGGCGAGGUGGCAAACAACCUGCGACCCGGGCAUUUCUGAAUGGGGAAACCCACCCACGGUAACGUGGGUAUCCUGCACUGAAUACAUAGGUGUCAGGAGGCGAACCGGGGGAACUGAAACAUCUCAUUACCCCGAGGAAAAGAAAUCAACCGAGAUUCCCCUAGUAGCGGCGAGCGAACGGGGACCAGCCCUUAAGCACCAUGACCGAUAGACGAAGUGGUUGGGAAGCCACGCGAUACAGGGUGAUAGCCCCGUAGUCGAAAUCUGAUUGGUGUGAAAUCGAGUAGGUCGGGGCACGAGAAACCUUGACUGAAGACGGGGGGACCAUCCUCCAAGGCUAAAUACU
rnacentral:rRNA from 1 species